GCGGAUGCCUAGGCUUUCAGAGGCGACGAAGGACGUGGUAAGCUGCGAAA
rnacentral:rRNA from 1 species